AUUGAACGCUGGCGGCAGGCCUAACACAUGCAAGUCGAACGAGUGGCGGACGGGUGAGUAAUGUCUGGGAAACUGCCUGAUGGAGGGGGAUAACUACUGGAAACGGUAGCUAAUACCGCAUACCAUCGGAUGUGCCCAGAUGGGAUUAGCUAGGAGGUGGGGUAAAGGCUCACCUAGGCGACGAUCCCUAGCUGGGCUGAGAGGAGGACCAGCCCCACUGCAACUGAAACACGGUCCAGACUCCGACGGGAGGGAGGAGUGGGGUAUGUAGCACAAUGGGCGCGAGCCUGAUGCAGCCAUGCCGCGUGUGUGAAGAAGGCCUUCGGGUUGUAAAGCACUUUCAGCGAGGUGGCUUUACUCGAAGAAGAAGCACCGGCUAACUCCGUGCCAGCAGCCGCGGUAAUAC
rnacentral:rRNA from 1 species